rnacentral:rRNA from 1 species
GACGAACGCUGGCGGCGUGCCUAAUACAUGCAAGUCGAGCGGACGGAUGGGAGCUUGCUCCCAGACCGUCAGCGGCGGACGGGUGAGUAACACGUGGGCAACCUGCCUGUAAGACUGGGAUAACUCCGGGAAACCGGGGCUAAUACCGGAUAACUCUUUCCCUCACAUGAGGGAAAGUUGAAAGAUGGCAUCUCGCUAUCACUUACAGAUGGGCCCGCGGCGCAUUAGCUAGUUGGUGAGGUAACGGCUCACCAAGGCGACGAUGCGUAGCCGACCUGAGAGGGUGAUCGGCCACACUGGGACUGAGACACGGCCCAGACUCCUACGGGAGGCAGCAGUAGGGAAUCUUCCGCAAUGGACGAAAGUCUGACGGAGCAACGCCGCGUGAGUGAUGAAGGUGUUCGGAUCGUAAAACUCUGUUGUCAGGGAAGAACAAGUACCGGAGUAACUGCCGGUACCUUGACGGUACCUGACCAGAAAGCCACGGCUAACUACGUG